rnacentral:rRNA from 1 species
AGCGAACGCUGGCGGCAGGCCUAACACAUGCAAGUCGAACGAAGUCUUCGGACUUAGUGGCGGACGGGUGAGUAACACGUGGGAACGUACCUUUUGGUUCGGAACAACUCAGGGAAACUUGAGCUAAUACCGGAUGAGCCCUUAGGGGGAAAGAUUUAUCGCCGAAAGAGCGGCCCGCGUUAGAUUAGCUAGUUGGUGAGGUAAAGGCUCACCAAGGCUACGAUCUAUAGCUGGUCUGAGAGGAUGAUCAGCCACACUGGGACUGAGACACGGCCCAGACUCCUACGGGAGGCAGCAGUGGGGAAUCUUGCGCAAUGGGCGAAAGCCUGACGCAGCCACGCCGCGUGAAUGAUGAAGGUCUUGGGAUUGUAAAAUUCUUUUACCAGGGACGAUAAUGACGGUACCUGGAGAAAAAGCCCCGGCUAACUUCGUGCCAGCAGCCGCCGUAAGAC